rnacentral:misc_RNA from 1 species
AAAAAAUUCUACUGCAAAAAAAAGGAAUGGCAGGGGGAACCAACGAUUUCAGUAUCCAAAUCUCGGAUGCUGCCGAAAAUGCAGUUAUCUUACUGAAUUCCCAAAUAGGAUCUUCACUUCCUCAAUCUACGGAGCCUCAGAAUCUUGGAGACAGAGAUCCAUCGUUCUCAACUUCCAGUAAGCCCCCGUUGAAUAACCUGAUUCAAAGAAAGUCACAAACCAGCUCUCCAUCUUCAAAGCCCCUUAGAGCUACGCCGCCAACAGAUGAUUCGGAGCCAACUUCCAAGAGAAAGGAGUUGCUUGUAUCACCAGGACCCAACAAGGAGGAGGAAACCCAGAAAGAAGGUAUGAAGUCA